CCGGGAGGGAGGUGGGGGGGUCAGCCCCCCCGCCCGGCCAGCCGCCCCGUCCGGGAGGUGAGGGGCGCCUCUGCCCGGCCGCCCCUACUGGGAAGUGAGGAGCCCCUCUGCCCGGCCAGCUGCCCCGUCCGGGAGGGAGGUGGGGGGUUCAGCCCCCCGCCCGGCCAGCCGCCCCGUCCGGGAGGGAGGUGGGGGGGGUCAGCCCCCCUGCCCGGCCAGCCGCCCCGUCCGGGAGGUGUGCCCAGUAGCUCAUUGAGAACGGGCCAGGAUGACAAUGGCGGCUUUGUGGAAUAGAAAGGCGGGAAAGGUGGGGAAAAGAUUGAGAGAUCGGAUGGUUGCCGUGUCUGUGUGGAAGGAAGUAGACAUGGGAGACUUUUCAUUUUGUUCUGCACUAAGAAAAAUUCCUCUGCCUUGGGAUCCUGUUGA
rnacentral:lncRNA from 1 species